rnacentral:rRNA from 1 species
CUGAGAGGAUGACCAGCCACACUGGAACUGAGACACGGUCCAGACUCCUACGGGAGGCAGCAGUGGGGAAUAUUGCACAAUGGGCGCAAGCCUGAUGCAGCCAUGCCGCGUGUAUGAAGAAGGCCUUCGGGUUGUAAAGUACUUUCAGCGGGGAGGAAGGGAGUAAAGUUAAUACCUUUGCUCAUUGACGUUACCCGCAGAAGAAGCACCGGCUAACUCCGUGCCAGCAGCCGCGGUAAUACGGAGGGUGCAAGCGUUAAUCGGAAUUACUGGGCGUAAAGCGCACGCAGGCGGUU